CCUACGGGUGGCUGCAGUAAGGAAUAUUGGUCAAUGGACGAAAGUCUGAACCAGCCAUGCCGCGUGGAGGAUGAAGGUCCUCUGGAUUGUAAACUUCUUUUAUAUGGGACGAAAAAAGGCCUUUCUAGGCCGUCUGACGGUACCAUAUGAAUAAGCACCGGCUAACUCCGUGCCAGCAGCCGCGGUAAUACGGAGGGUGCCAGCGUUACCCGGAUUCACUGGGUUUAAAGGGUGUUGAGGUGUCAGUGGUGAAAUCUCCGAGCUUAACUUGGAAACUGCCAUUGAUACUAUUGAUCUUGAAUAUUGUGGAGGUUAGCGGAAUAUGUCAUGUAGCGGUGAAAUGCUUAGAUAUGACAUAGAACACCAAUUGCGAAGGCAGCUGGCUACACAUAUAUUGACACUGAGGCACGAAAGCGUGGGGAUCAAACAGGAUUAGAUACCCGAGUAGUC
rnacentral:rRNA from 1 species